UAAGGUUGUAUGUCUAAAGGGAAACAGCCCAGAACAAGAGUGGAAGGUUCCAAAAUUAUUGUUCAGUGAAAAAUAAGGAAGUAUUUUUCAUACACAACCAGGAAAUAGGCUUAGAAGCGGCCAUUUUUUGAAGACCUCGUAACAGAGCACUGGUUUAAUAUAAAUAAGUUAAAAGCGUCAAAGAUUUAACGGAUCUAAACAAUAUACCUAAACCUUGUCCAUAAAUUAAGAUAUUUUUGAAAAAUAUCUUAAUUUAUGGGGUAGCGGAACAUUGGGUUAAUCUUAGAAUUCAUUUUUUCAAAAUGAAUUAAGCUUGUAUUAUAAGUAUAAUCUUAUAAUUCACUUUUUCAAAAUGAACUAAGCUUAUAUUUAUUAUAUAGUAUAUUUAAGCAAGAUGACCCCAAGUGAUAAUGCUGACAUGAGUAACGAAAAAAGGGACAACCCCUCGCCUUAAGCUUAUGGUAUUUUUAUUAAACUAACGGCCCCUAAGUUUAUUAUAUUCCCAUAACCGAUUCAAUGAUGGGACCAGCCAUUCCUCCUAUACCCAGAGCAACCAAUUCUCCAAGAGAGUGCAACGGAUAAUAAGUAAAUUAAAUAAUUAAUAGAAACUAGAAAAAUUAUAGAUUUAAUAGUUAUUUUGUAACUAAAGUGACAAAUGCUCUGGAAAAAUGUAAAACUACUGACGUGUUAGAGAGUUGGCGAGGUUCAACCCUUGUCCAUUAAUAU
rnacentral:rRNA from 1 species